AGCUCCAAAAUGAGUGUCUCUGGGGAGCAGCACACACAGGAAGCUGAGAGAGACAUUAAAUGUAAAAAAUGGCCUAAGAAAAAAAGGUCUA